UUGCGUUAAGGAUAGUAGCGGCAUCCUUUUUUGCUUGAAAAAGCAUAAAAGAUAUAGCGAAUAGCCUGUUAAAAC
rnacentral:sRNA from 1 species